CCUCAUAUUUUUCUUUGCUGGGUUGUUAGGUCAGAAAAAUAUCGAGUUUUUUGCAGUUUAACAUAAAGAGCAUGCUUUUCUGAUCUCCGACAUAUUUUUAUUUUGUUUGUAAACCUUUUAUUUACAUUUUUAUACAGCAAACAAUAAGCCAUUUUAAUCGAUAGAAUGACACUAACAUUCAUAGAAUGACAGUUGGCCCAUGCAGCAUAAGAACAAUUUUUUAGUUCAAUAUAAAUUUAAAAUGCAAAUUAAAAUUAGUUCCGGGGCUCCAAAAAUUCUGAAAAAUUGGGGUUAGGCUUAGUUUUUUAUUCAGAUUCAGAAUAUGUUAAAACAUAUAUUGACCAGUGCAUGAUGACGUAGGUUGACAGUUCACAGAGCUUUUUCUCCGGGACUUAGCCUCCGGCGCAGCUUCCGAUAAAAUUGUUUCGUCAUUUUAUUCGCACGUAGAUGUCCUUUCCCGCAUAAUAAAAAACAACAUGUUAUAUGGUCAGAAUCAUUAUUACGAUGUAAGAUAUAGCUUCACAGUUUACGUUGCGGUUAUCAAAUAUUUUUCGGCUAUUCAACCAUAACUGCUCGACAUCAACGCUAAAUGUCAAUGUAUAACAUGCUGUCCCGAAAAUGUUUUAUAUUUCCUGCAUUAUAUGUCAACAUUUUAUCAUACUGUCGAGCGAAAAUUUUGCAGGCGAAAACGGCCGAUUUUUUAUGGUGACAUAACUUAACAACCCAUUCAACAUAUUGUUAUUUGUCAAAUAACCGUACCACAAACUGUUGAAACUUUAUAUAAGAUUGUUCAUAUACAGUUGUCAACAUUAAAGGAUACUGUUGCCAACCGCACGGGAAAAUGUCCAUGUACAGUUUGUAAUUAUGCGGGUUGCGAUUGAUUUCAUGCUGAAUGCAAAGAAUAACACUAAAAUAUUCGAAUCACAACAAUUUUGAACUAAAAAUAUGAAUUUUAAUUUUCCCUUCAUCGAUUUUUCUUCUAACACCUUCUUAACAAGCUCUGUGAACUGUCAAAAUAAAUGAGGUUAAGUUAGAGUUUGCAUUGGUCUAUACCCCUAAACAACCCAAUUAUGGUAUCUUGAGAUGCAAAUAAAUGCUGCAUACACUGAACCUAAGUAUCAUCCUUGGGACGACUGAUUUCGCAUCUUCCUUCUCUUUAAUAAGCUUCCUCUUACUACCGUAUGCUGCCCUGGCGCAUCUGACCCACCCGCCUAGAAUCAAAAGAAAAUCAUCCGAUCAGCGAACAAUGGUCAUGGAUGCAUGUUGAAUGUGUCGUCUUUCAUAACAAUGAAAGUGUCGUCUUUCAUAACAAUGAAAAGUAAAAUGUACUUUUGGUCGAGCUCUUGGCAAUGGUCGCAGCAAAUGACGGGAUAGAGCAAUCAAUUUCAACGGCUUUGGAUGGCGUAUAUAAAUCCGGCGGUGGUUGAUCUUAGAGCUCAGCUGGUAUCAGGUUGGUCAAGGCUUUCGUAUUUUCCGUGUAUGAAUUUCAACGUUGACGGAUUAGUCGGAAUACGGCUCGAAUGGCUCAAAGGAAAGUUAUAGUCAACAUAACGCAUCGCCGCGGAUUAUCAUAUUAGGUAUAAUUUUUUAACCAGUUGAAAACAUUACCGCGAUGAAGGAAUUAAAUAAAUUUUAAAUCUAAAUAAAAA